AACCUGGUUGAUCUUGCCAGUAGUCAUAUGCUUGUCUCAAAGAUUAAGCCAUGCAAGUGAAAGUAUAUGCAUAUUUUAUAUGUAGAAACUGCGAACGGCUCAUUAAAACAGUUAUAAUCUACUUGACAUUUUUUACUAUAAGGAUAACUACGGAAAAGCUGUAGCUAAUACUUGCUUUUAAUACUCUUGAUUAAGUUCUUGAGUAUGUACUUGUUAAGCCUUAUAAGAGAAAAGUUAAUAACUUAAGGAAUUAUAACAAAGAAGUAACACGUAAUAAACUAAGUUUAUUUUAGUGUUUAUCAAUCGAGUUUCUGACCUAUCAGCUUUUGAUGUUAGGGUAUUGGCCUAACAUGGCUAUGACGGGUAACGGGGAAUUAGAGUUCGAUUCCGGAGAGGGAGCCUGAGAAAUAGCUACCACAUCUAAGGAAGGCAGCAGGCGCGUAAAUUACCCAAUUCUAAAGAAGAGAGGUAGUGACAAGAAAUAACAAUACAAGGCCAAUCUGGCUUUGUAAUUGGAAUGAUGGGAAUUUAAAACCUUCCCAAAAUACAAUUGGAGGGCAAGUCUGGUGCCAGCAGCCGCGGUAAUUCCAGCUCCAAUAGCGUAUAUUAAAAUUGUUGCAGUUAAAACGCUCGUAGUUGAAUUUCAAAGAAUCGAUAUUUUAAGUCAUGCUUUUAGUUUAAUCCACAAUAACUAAUACUUCGAGUAUUGGUUAUGUGCGCAUUAUAUACUAUUAUGUGUCUCUUUUAAUAAAAUGUUUCUUUCUAAGAUUUUCUUUUUUCUUUUUAAUAGCAUUAGAAGAUUUUUUUACUUUGAGUAAAUUAGAGUGUUCAAAGCAAACAGAUAUAGCAUUUACUGCGUUUGAAUACUACAGCAUGGAAUAAUAAAAUUGAACAAGUCAAAAUUUUGUUUUUUUUUUUUAUUUUGGCUUAGUUACGAUUAAUAGGAGUAGCUUGGGGGCAUUUGUAUUCAGAUGUCAGAGGUGAAAUUCUUAGAUUUUCUGGAGACAAACAACUGCGAAAGCAUUUGCCUAAAAUACUUCCAUUAAUCAAGAACGAAAGUUAAGGGAGUGAAGACGAUCAGAUACCGUCGUAAUCUUAACCAUAAACUAUACCGACUAGGCUUUGGAUGUAAGAUUUAAAAAUAAGAAAUUGUCCUUUUUGGGGAGAAUUUCUUAGAUAGCUUCCUUCAGUGCCUUAUGAGAAAUCAAAGUCUUUGGGUUCUGGGGCGAGUAUUCGCGCAAGCGAGAAAGUUAAAAGAAUUGACGGAAGGGCACCACCAGGCGUGGAGCUUGCGGCUUAAUUUGACUCAACACGGGAAAACUCACUAGUUUAAGACAAGAGUAGGAUUGACAGAUUAAUAGCUCUUUCUUGAUUUCUUGGAUGGUGAUGCAUGGCCGUUUUUAGUUCGUGAAUAUGAUUUGUCUGGUUAAUUCCGAUAACGAACGAGAUCUUAACCUGCUAAUUAGCGGCAAGUACGACAUAUUUUUGGGAGGAAUUGAAUUUAGUUAGUUUGUACAUUUUGAAGAAAAUAUUAGGAUACGUAAUAGUAUCCUUUUCCCUUUUCUACUUAAUUUACUUACUAUACUGAUUUUUUUUUUGAUCAAAAAUGUAUUUGCUUGAUUGUAAAGCUUCUUAGAGGAACGAUGUGUGUCUAACACAAGGAAGUUUAAGGCAACAACAGGUCUGUGAUGUCCUUAGAUGAACUAGGCUGCACGCGUGCUACACUGAUAUGUAUAACGAGUUAUUAGAAAUAUACACAUUAGUGCUAUGUUCAUUCGUGAGCUGGUAUUUGUUGUCAUAGUUUUCCUCCACUGAAAAGUGUAGGUAAUCUUUAUCAAUACAUAUCGUGAUGGGGAUAGAUUAUUGCAAUUAUUAAUCUUGAACGAGGAAUGCCUAGUAAGCAUGAUUCAUCAGAUUGUGCUGACUACGUCCCUGCCCUUUGUACACACCGCCCGUCGCUCCUACCGAUUGAAAGAUAUGAUGAAUUGUUUGGACAAGAAAAAUGAAGAUACACAUCUUCGCUUUUCUGAAAAAACCGUAAAUCCUAUCUUUUAAAGGAAGGAGAAGUCGUAACAAGGUUUCCGUAGGUGAACCUGCGGAAGGAUCAUUA
rnacentral:rRNA from 1 species